GGCGACGUGGAGCAAAACCCUAAAAGCAGUCUCAGUUCGGAUCGCAGGCUGCAACUCGCCUGCGUGAAGUUGGAAUUGCUAGUAAUCGCGGAUCAGCAUGCCGCGGUGAAUACGUUCCCGGGCCUUGUACACACCGCCCGUCAAGCCAUGGGAGCCGGGGGUACCUGAAGUGCGUAACCGCAAGGAGCGCCCUAGGGUAAAACUGGUGACUGGGGCUAAGUCGUAACAAGGUAAC
rnacentral:rRNA from 1 species